GGGCUCGUAGCUUAGACUGGAUAUAGCGCUGGCCUUCUAAGCCAGAGGUCCCGGGUUCGAAACCCUAUCCACUAGGGCGAACAUCCCGGCGGGCCCG
rnacentral:tRNA from 1 species